GGCUGAUUAGCUCAGUUGGUUAGAGUGUGGUGCUGAUAACACCAAGGUCAGGGGUUCAGAUCCCCCUACUGGCCA